AUGAGUUUGAACUCUUUGGACAAAAGCACUCAAAUAUUCAACACUAAGAAGAUCCAGUUUGCUGUGGUGUACCACAGGGGUCAAUCCGAGGGUCUCAAUGAUGUAGAUGAAGGUCCAGAUGGUUCAGAGUCUCAGUGUUCUUCCUCUCUCUCCUCCCCUCUCACUGCAGACAUGAAACACUGGCUGACAAACAUCCUGAUUCUGACUCUCUGGCUCGAGUGUAAAGGAGAAGACAGAGUGAUCCAGCGCACAGCAGAUGUCAUUGCUGCUGAAGGACACCACGUCACACUUCUAUGUUCCUUUCAGACCAGUAGCACAAGUGCUUGUUUGUUCUGGUACCAACAAGAACUAAAUGGUUCUCCAAAGUUUAUGCUGAGACGUCUCAGUUUUGGAGGAGGACAAAAUGCUGCAGAGUUCAACAAAGAGAGAUUUGAUGCUGAAGUCAACAAGACAUCAGUUGAUCUGAAGAUCCAGAAGCUGCAGCUGCGAGACUCUGCUGUGUACUACUGUGCUCUGGAGCCCACAGUGACAGCAAGCAGCAAAAGAGAGGACAAAAACACUACA